rnacentral:rRNA from 1 species
CAUUCAAUAAGCGGAGGAAAAGAAACUAACAAGGAUUCCCCUAGUAACUGCGAGUGAAGCGGGAAAAGCUCAAAUUUGAAAUCUGGCGGUUCUUGACCGUCCGAGUUGUAAUCUAGAGAAGUGUUACCUGUGCUGGACCGUGUACAAGUCUCCUGGAAUGAAGCAUCACAGAGGGUGAGAAUCCCGUCUUUGACACGGACUGCCUGUACAUUAUGGUGCGCUCUCGAAGAGUCGAGUUGUUUGGGAAUGCAGCUCAAAAUGGGUGGUAAAUGCCAUCUAAAGCUAAAUAUUGGCGAGAGACCGAUAGCGAACAAGUACCGUGAGGGAAAGAUGAAAAGAACUUUGGAAAGAGAGUUAAACAGUACGUGAAAUUGCUGAAAGGGAAACGCUUGAAGUCAGUCGCGUUGGCUAGAAAUCAACCUUGCUUUUGCUUGGCGUACUUUCUGGUUCAACGGGUCAGCAUCAAUUUUGACCAUUGGAUAAAGUCUUUGGGAAUGUGGCAUCUUCGGAUGUGUUAUAGCCCAUUGUCGCAUACGGUGGUUGGGAUUGAGGAACUCAGCACGCCGCAAGGCCGGGUUUCGACCACGUUUCGUGCUUAGGAUGCUGGCAUAAUGGCUUUAAUCGACCCGUCUUGAAACACGGACCAAGGAGUCUAACAUGCCUGCGAGUGUUUGGGUGGAAAAACCCAUGCGCGCAAUGAAAGUGAAAGUUGAGAUCCCUCCUUGGGGGGAGCAUUGACGCCCGGACCAGACCUUUUGUGACGGAUCCGCGGUAGAGCAUGUAUGUUGGGACCCGAAAGAUGGUGAACUAUGCCUGAAUAGGGUGAAGCCAGAGGAAACUCUGGUGGAGGCUCGUAGCGAUUCUGACGUGCAAAUCGAUCGUCAAAUUUGGGUAUAGGGGCGAAAGACUAAUCGA